rnacentral:rRNA from 1 species
GGGGGGCCCUAAACAUGCAAGUCGAGCGGACAGAUGGGAGCUUGCUCCCCUGAUGUUAGCGGCGGACGGGUGAGUAAACGUGGGUAACCUGCCUGUAAGACUGGGAUAACUCCGGGGAAACCGGGGCUAAUACCGGAUGCUUGAUUGGAACCGCAUGGUUCAAUUAUAAAAGGUGGCUUUUAGCUACCACUUACAGAUGGACCCGCGGCGCAUUAGCUAGUUGGUGAGGUAACGGCUCACCAAGGCAACGAUGCGUAGCCGACCUGAGAGGGUGAUCGGCCACACUGGGACUGAGACACGGCCCAGACUCCUACGGGAGGCAGCAGUAGGGAAUCUUCCGCAAUGGACGAAAGUCUGACGGAGCAACGCCGCGUGAGUGAUGAAGGUUUUCGGAUCGUAAAACUCUGUUGUUAGGGAAGAACAAGUACCGUUCGAAUAGGGCGGUACCUUGACGGUACCUAACCAGAAAGCCACGGCUAACUACGUGCCAGCAGCCGCGGUAAUACGUAGGUGGCAAGCGUUGUCCGGAAUUAUUGGGCGUAAAGCGCGCGCAGGCGGUUUCUUAAGUCUGAUGUGAAAGCCCCCGGCUCAACCGGGGAGGGUCAUUGGAAACUGGGGAACUUGAGUGCAGAAGAGGAGAGUGGAAUUCCACGUGUAGCGGUGAAAUGCGUAGAGAUGUGGAGGAACACCAGUGGCGAAGGCGACUCUCUGGUCUGUAACUGACGCUGAGGCGCGAAAGCGUGGGGAGCGAACAGGAUUAGAUACCCUGGUAGUCCACGCCGUAAACGAUGAGUGCUAAGUGUUAGAGGGUUUCCGCCCUUUAGUGCUGCAGCAAACGCAUUAAGCACUCCGCCUGGGGAGUACGGUCGCAAGACUGAAACUCAAAGGAAUUGACGGGGGCCCGCACAAGCGGUGGAGCAUGUGGUUUAAAUUCGAAGCAACGCGAAGAACCUUUACCAGGUCUUGACAUCCUCUGACAACCCUAGAGAUAGGGCUUCCCCUUCGGGGGCAGAGUGACAGGUGAUGCAUGGCUGUCGUCAGCUCCGUGUCGGUGAAGAUGUGGGGUUAAGUCCCCGCAACGGAGCCGCAACCCUUGGAUCCUAAGUUGCCAGCCAUUCCAGUUGGCACCUCUAAGUGAACUGCCGGUUGACCAAUCGGAAGGCAAGGGGUGGGGGAAUGUGACCGUCCAGUC